AACGCUGGCGGCGUGCCUAACACAUGCAAGUCGAACGCGAAAGCCCCGCAAGGGGUAAGUAGAGUGGCAAACGGGUGAGUAACACGUGGGUGACCUGCCUUCGAGUGGGGGAUAACGUCCCGAAAGGGACGCUAAUACCGCAUAACAUGCUGCCUUUGAAGAGGUGGACAUCAAAGCUGGGGAUCGCAAGACCUAGCGCUGGAAGAGGGGCCCGCGUCCGAUUAGCUAGUUGGUGAGGUAAUGGCUCACCAAGGCGACGAUCGGUAGCCGGCCUGAGAGGGCGGACGGCCACACUGGGACUGAGACACGGCCCAGACUCCUACGGGAGGCAGCAGUGGGGAAUUGUUCGCAAUGGGCGCAAGCCUGACGACGCAACGCCGCGUGGAGGAUGAAGAUCUUCGGGUCGUAAACUCCUUUCGAUCGAGACGAAUUCCUCUGGGGUGAACAAUCCCGGAGGUUGACGGUACCGAGAGAAGAAGCCCCGGCUAACUCCGUGCCAGCAGCCGCGGUAAUACGGGGGGGGCAAGCGUUGUUCGGAAUUACUGGGCGUAAAGGGCUCGUAGGCGGCCAACUAAGUCGGACGUGAAAUCCCUCGGCUUAACCGGGGAACUGCGUCUGAUACUGGAUGGCUUGAGUUCGGGAGAGGGAUGCGGAAUUCCAGGUGUAGCGGUGAAAUGCGUAGAUAUCUGGAGGAACACCGGUGGCGAAGGCGGCAUCCUGGACCGACACUGACGCUGAGGAGCGAAAGCCAGGGGAGCAAACGGGAUUAGAUACCCCGGUAGUCCUGGCCCUAAGCGAUGAAUGCUUGGUG
rnacentral:rRNA from 1 species